AACGAACGCUGGCGGCAUGCCUAACACAUGCAAGUCGAACGAGACCUUCGGGUCUAGUGGCGCACGGGUGCGUAACGCGUGGGAACCUGCCCUUAGGUUCGGAAUAACUCCCCGAGAGGGGUGCUAAUACCGGAUAAUGUCUUCGGACCAAAGAUUUAUCGCCUUUGGAUGGGCCCGCGUUGGAUUAGCUAGUUGGUAGGGUAAAAGCCUACCAAGGCGACGAUCCAUAGCUGGUCUGAGAGGAUGAUCAGCCACACUGGGACUGAGACACGGCCCAGACUCCUACGGGAGGCAGCAGUGGGGAAUAUUGGACAAUGGGCGAAAGCCUGAUCCAGCAAUGCCGCGUGAGUGAUGAAGGCCUUAGGGUUGUAAAGCUCUUUUACCCGGGAUGAUAAUGACAGUACCGGGAGAAUAAGCGCCGGCUAACUCCGUG
rnacentral:rRNA from 1 species